AACAAACGCUGGCGGCGUGCCUAAUACAUGCAAGUCGAACGGGGAAAGCUUUCGGGUGAGUACUAGUGGCGCACGGGUGAGUAACGCGUGGAUAAUCUGCCUUAGAGUGGGGGAUAACCAGUCGAAAGAUUGGCUAAUACCGCAUAAGACCACAAGAGCUGCGGCUCAAGGGGUCAAAGGUUUUUCGCUCUAAGAUGAGUCCGCGUAAGAUUAGCUAGUUGGUGAGGUAAUGGCUCACCAAGGCAACGAUCUUUAACUGGUCUGAGAGGAUGAUCAGUCACACUGGAACUGAGACACGGUCCAGACUCCUACGGGAGGCAGCAGUAGGGAAUAUUGCACAAUGGAGGAAACUCUGAUGCAGCGACGCCGCGUGAGUGAUGAAGGCCUUCGGGUCGUAAAGCUCUGUCGCAGGGGAAUAACACAAUGAAUGUACCCUGUAAGAAAGGAUCGGCUAACUUCGUGCCAGCAGCCGCCGUAAAAC
rnacentral:rRNA from 1 species